rnacentral:rRNA from 1 species
ACUCAAAGGAAUUGACGGGGACCCGCACAAGCGGUGGAGCAUGUGGUUUAAUUCGAAGCAACGCGAAGAACCUUACCAAAUCUUGACAUCCUCUGACCCCUCUAGAGAUAGAGUUUUCCCCUUCGGGGGACAGAGUGACAGGUGGUGCAUGGUUGUCGUCAGCUCGUGUCGUGAGAUGUUGGGUUAAGUCCCGCAACGAGCGCAACCCUUAAGCUUAGUUGCCAUCAUUAAGUUGGGCACUCUAAGUUGACUGCCGGUGACAAACCGGAGGAAGGUGGGGAUGACGUCAAAUCAUCAUGCCCCUUAUGAUUUGGGCUACACACGUGCUACAAUGGACAAUACAAAGGGUAGCGAAACCGCGAGGUCAAGCAAAUCCCAUAAAGUUGUUCUCAGUUCGGAUUGUAGUCUGCAACUCGACUAUAUGAAGCUGGAAUCGCUAGUAAUCGUAGAUCAGCAUGCUACGGUGAAUACGUUCCCGGGUCUUGUACACACCGCCCGUCACACCACGAGAGUUUGUAACACCCGAAGCCGGUGGAGUAACCAUUUGGAGCUAGCCGUCGAAGGUGGGACAAAUGAUUGGGGUGAAGUCGUAACAAGGUAGCCGUAUCGGAAGGUGCGGCUGGAUCACCUCCUUU